AUAAAAUUUUGAUUUAGAGUUUUUUUUUUUUGUAGUAAUUUUGCAUUUAGGUCACUCCUUCACACUAUGAAAAAACAUAUCCUCUGUUUAA